GAAUUAGCAGUUGCCUGCAAAGAUCUAUGUUCUCUUUGACAGGACAGUCUCCUUGCUGGCAGCAACAGAAGAGGACCCUCAUUUGCUCACCUGCUAGGGAAAGGCUGUUGCAAAUAAGCAGACACUGAGCAGGCACUAGGGGAGGCUGCAGUGGCAACUUGCUGGUAGCUGUAGAUUCUUCAGAGAGAGGGAGUAAAUACAGUCCUUCCAAUCUUAGAUACACUGAUGUCAGGUCCAUGGAAACUAAAAUUCCUGUGUAUGAAUGUCACCUGGAUCAAGGUGGCAUGGUGUCUGCUAUAUUCCCUGGGGUCACACUAUGCCUGUGGGUGUGCUUUAACAGCCUCUGUAAUGAUGCAAUUCAACAUGGAUCUAAUCUAGUCUGGUUGAACUGAAGCUUUUUUACUUUUAGUAGAAAAAGAUGACGUGUAUGCACUGAACUGAAGUGUAUAAAGUGCUGCUAAUUCCUGCUGAGAAACUUGAAUAGUGCUAACUUAAAGAUGUGGGCUUAUCUGACAUAUAUAGUCUUUCUUUUUCAUUAUCAGACAGAAAUAUAGGUCCUCUUCUGGCUCUUCUUUUAGAGCUCUUCUCUUUCUGCACACAGUCAUUACCCUAUCUUUUUUUUCUUGCCUGUCUUUAUCCUGCUCCUGUUAACUCUUCCUGCUCUAAUGCAGUGUCUUCCCCAUAGUGCCCAAAGAGUGAAGACUGAAGUGCUUGUCGAUUUUUCUCCUGGGCAUUGUGCUGCUUCUCCUUUUGACUGCUGGAGAGCCAGGGGCCGGUGGAGUUGUGUUUCUGAUUUUAAGAAUGUGGGAGGUGGGAAGUCACAAGAAGCCCACAGGUUUGUGUUGAAUUUAAACUCCUUAAUGGACAGAGGAUUAUAACCAAGGUAUUUGGCACUCCACCUCAUUAGGAUUAAAAGACAGUAAUUCUCUGAUUCUGAGUAACAAUUCUGAUUAUGAUUUCUGCACUUACAUACUGAAUUGUGUACCAGGUAGAGACUUUUGGAGUAACUUCAAGUAAACUCAAAACAGGAUAUUAUUAUCAAAAUAACUUUGAAAAUGAAUAAUAGUACAGCAUUUCAUAUCUGUAUUUUGAUGUACAGUUCUGUUGAAACUUCCAUUUUGGAAAUUUUUCAAUGUGUAAUGCCACCAAGUUUUAAAUUUGUUGUACAGAUUUGGAUUUCUGAUGUAGAAUGCUAAAAGCCUCUACUGGAUUUGAAGUAAAGGUUUUGUUACUUGA